rnacentral:lncRNA from 1 species
UUUAAAGCAGCAGUUGCUCAGUCGUUGAUGCUGAAACAUCCUCGCUGCGCCGAGGCGGGCUUUGCCGGAAGGGGAGUAAGCCGCUGUCUGUGAGGUUGGGCUCCCUCACAGGGAAGCACCUGGGUUUAUUCAGUUAACUCUUCCGGCCAGCUCUUUAUUCAGUGAAUUAGCGUGUUGUGAACGAGGCGACUCCGACGCCUUUAAAAAAAGGGCGAUAGCGGUCGCUCCCUGGCGUCGCGGGGAGCCUGGUGCCAGCAGCGUGAUGGAGGCCGCGGCGUCAGGGCACCAAACGCUUGGUAGCCAGUGUGGAUGCGAGGGAGGUGACUGCCGUGCCGGCAAGCUCCUUUCUGGGGGAAGCUGAGUAUGUCUUUUACAAUGGAGUUAAAGAAGAUUUGUACAGAAACUGAAGAUGUGAUCCAUGCUCUCUCGUCUUUCACCAGUCUGUUUCUACCAUGCAGCUGGAUUCCUACAAGUUGACUUUUUCAUCACAAAGAAUGAGGAAUUUCCAAGAUUGAUACAUCAAAGAAUAAGGAAGAGAGCUGGUAGCAUACAGCUUCUGUAUCUAAAAUGGAUGGAAAUUGGAACUGGGUGAAUCAAGCCUCUGGCCUAAAACUGAACUGGUCUGGCUUAAAAUUGAACUGGUUCCACAAAGGAUGGAUUCCACAGGGUAGAGGAAUGGCUGUUGUCUGCCCUCUUUGUAAGUUCACCAAAGAACUUUGUCUAGUGCUAUUCAUCAGGACAUCAUAACAUGGCCAUAACUUCAAUAAACCACUUGUGUCUGCUGAGCUGUCGUCCA